AACCGAUCGAACGCUAGUGGCGCCCUUCUUGGAGACGGUGCCAUCUGGUAGAGACACUCCUCCACGACAUGAGGGCAAAGUGGAGAAAGAAGCGUAUGCGCAGGCUGAAGCGCAAGAGGCGAAAGAUGAGGCAAAGGUCCAAGUAGAAUGCUUCCCCCUACAACACCAUGGCUGACCCUUCUGGACAACACGGGACCAAGGAUCUCAUGUUCAAAGUCUGAUCUGAGAUGUGCCAUCCAUGCCAAUGAGAGGCUUUAAAGAGACCACCUGCCUGGGAAAAUUGAUAUGGGGACAUUCUGGAUUCUCUUCUACUAAACCUAUCCUACUCCAUUGCUUUUGUUUAUACUUUCCAAUAAAGUUUUUGGUUUAAA